rnacentral:rRNA from 1 species
CGACCGGCGCACGGGUGAGUAACGCGUAUGCAACUUACCUAUCAGAGGGGAUAGCCCGGCGAAAGUCGGAUUAAUACCCCAUAAAACAGGGGUCCCGCAUGGGAAUAUUUGUUAAAGAUUCAUCGCUGAUAGAUAGGCAUGCGUUUCAUUAGGCAGUUGGCGGGGUAACGGCCCACCAAACCGACGAUGGAUAGGGGUUCUGAGAGGAAGGUCCCCCACAUUGGUACUGAGACACGGACCAA